CGGUUGUUGUAAUUUGUAUUUUAAAAAAAGAAAUAAAAACUUGCUUGCUGUGCUGUGUGAAGUUAUAAAGCAGUUGGGGAUUGGCAGAACACUCGAAAAGUGUGAAAAAGCACUCCACUACGCGUCGUGCUUCUCCUAACACUUCUCUCCUGUUCUGCCAACCCCCGCGUGCUUUAUGACUGCACACGGCACGCGCGCGCGUUUUCUAUUUCUUCAUUAGUCGGCUAAGCAUCUGGUACGGCUGUAUAUUUUUACGAGUCACGGAGUAUUUUGGCAAACCUUUAGGCGUGCCAAAAUAAAAGUGACGACUAAAAAUGCCCAGCCGUAUCAGAUGCUUAGCCGACUGAUAAGUUGUUUAUCAUUUAAUUCUGCAAAGAAAUCCUCAAACUCCCUCUAAACUCUAUCUUACCCAGCGCGAGCAGAUGAGACGCACGUUAUUUGCAGAAGUAUUAAAUGAUAACUUACUUAAUUUCGGCUUACUUACCUAACUAACGUACCAACCAACCUACUUACAUACCCACCUCCCUACCAACCCACUUACUUGUAGACGUACCUACGAACUUCAUUGCGCAAUAUUUUGACAAAUUUUUAAAAAAAUGAAAAAAGAACAAAAAAAAACAAAACAAAACAAAACAAAACAAAACAUGCUCUUUGCAUAAAAUAUUUAUCCAACAGGUUUUUGAUAACUAUUCAUGCAAAAUGAUAUGAAAAUUCAUUAACGAUCUUUCGCUUCUAGAAAAUCGUUCCCAAUUAGUCAUUCCGAGGUUGGGUAAAAAACUAGGUCGAGCUGGUAUUGCAGUGCAUUCUGGGGCUGUUUUAGGGGACAAAUGAAUAGACGCCAUCUUGGUAACAUGUGCCCUAGAAUAACCAAACUUAACCCCGGCUCACAAUGCACUGCAAUAACAAUACUCGACCCAGUUUUACCUCAACCUCUGAAUGGCUAAUAAAGCUAGGGCCCAACUUUUGUGGUAGAAAAUAAAGAGUUUCUGUUAAUCACGCACCAUUAGGAUAAGUGUCCACUUCUAGGAACAUUCAUUUUCGACAAUAACGAGUGGGAGACUGUAUUUUUUGCGGGUGACUAGGACAACAAUCUCGUACCCAGAGCCUGCGUUUCUUCUGGCCUGCUUUGAAGAACGAGGGCUCUGGCAUAAUUCUUUUUUUGAGACCAGGAUUUCUUGGACUUCUGGUAUAACAGCGCACGCGUUCAAAGACUUGUCAAAAAUUUAAAAUAUUUCCCCCGCCCCCCCCGAUAUUUAAUUUGUACUAUGAUUUUAACUUUGAUUUUGAGUUCGAUUUAAUUUUACUUUGCUUAUUUUGACCGUUUAUAUCUCACUUUCCGAUAAUUCCGCAUGCACCAAAAUAUGGAUUAUGCCAGAGCCCUCGUUCUUCGUCACAGGCCAGAAGAAAUGCAGGCUCUGGGUACGAGAUUGCUAGGACAAGCGAGCGCAGUGAUGGGUAGACAACAUUUGGUCAAUAUCAACAAAAACAUCAAAGUUCUAUAUCAUAUUGCUUAGGUCUUCCCACUUCAUGUUGACAAAGUGUUCCUGACUUCGUACUCGUACUCGUCAUUCCCGUACCUAACAUUAUGAUACGAUGUUUCUGACACUUCAGGUUCCAAUAUAUAUAUAUAUCUAUUUUAAAGUUAUUUAAUAGAAUUUUAAUACAAAUUUUUAUUCCUAAUAUAAUAACUUUUAAAUAUAUUGAUGUGACUUUGUCGAAAAAUGUUUCAUGAUUCAUGUUGUAAAGCAGAAAUUUUGGCUCAAACAACAACAUAAUUUUUGGAAAAACCACUGUAGACGCCUUGCCCUAAUUCUCAAUAAUCCUGCAAAGAAUUCAUUUCCCCGGUCUUUUUCGAAGGUUGAAAUCUUGUUGGAUGAUUGCUGUCUAGACCCCCAAGGCCCGGUUGUACUAAGCCUGGAUAGCUUGUGGAUAAAUUUGUUGGAUAACAGCAUCGACUUAUCCACUGGAUGAGGAUUUAUCCGCCGGAUAGCGCUAUCCAGGCUUCGUACAACCGGGACCAGGUCUAGAUUUGUGCAAGGGGUCUAGAAACUGCACUGCUAUCAAGUUAUUUAAAUCAGGCUUCAAACUCUUAUUUACAUCAUUGAAAAUAUACGUGAGCCAAUCAGAAUGCAGGAAAUCUAUUGUAUAUUCGACGGUAUUCUCUCAUCUCUUACGAUCAUGCAUUGCGGGUUUUGAAUUUCUAAUGCUUAUAUGCUAUAAAAUGGAGUGCGAUUACUCUUGGGAUAUUUCAUGGAAACUGAGCACGUAUGAUUAAAGCGAUUGCCAUAUGCGAUUGCCAUGCGUUCCUCAUAAUUGUUAUCUUAGGCCCCGUCCACACGUAUCCGGAAAUUUUUGUAUCCGCAAAUUUUUUUUGCGGAUACGGGCCGGUUGCGUCCACACGUAUCCGCAAAUUUUACGAAAACGGAUACGUGUGGACGGUGAAAACGAUUCGAAUACGCUGCGUGUGGACGCAAACAUUUUCGUAUCCGCAAAAAAUAAUUUGCGGAUACAAAAAAUUCCGGAUACGUGUGGACGGGGCCUUAAUUGCUAAUACUUCUUGUAGAAGUAGAACCGUAAUCUAUGUCUUCCUUUUCUACUGGUCAAGUAUGAUAGCGUGGCGUAAUUUUACUACCACUACCGAGAUGUAUGCUUUGCGAUUUUUUUUCUUAUUGAUAGUUCUAUUUCCUCAUGAGAAUAGUAAGACAUUGGUGCUAAUUAACUGAACAAGAGAAAGUGUACAAGGGAGUCUGGUAGUGGUAGUAAAUGACGUUAUAAUGCAAGUGACCAAGAGUUUCAAUAUGAAAAUAUUCUAUUUCUAGUCNUAUGGUUUAGUAAAGGCAUCCAUUAUUAACUACAGCUCUAUGUCAUGUAUUAGCGUUUUUAAUAAAGAAAUAACAUGAAUUGUGGUGUGAGGUUUC
rnacentral:lncRNA from 1 species